CGAGCAUCAUCAGUAGUAGCAACUAAGGAAGACAAGGACUCACGCGUGGCAUCCCCGUUCUCGGAUAACUCAGUUGAGCCUCGUCAUUUCUAUCGUCAUUUUCAUGUCGUGGAUAAACCAUGUCUUUGGUAAAGGUUUCGGCUUUAAUUGUUUUAUGUUUCUAUUACGUUAAAGCUGAGGAUGAUUUUGUCAAGUGCUAUCAGUGUCGUCGUUCCUCGGACUGGAUGUGUGGGAAGGAGCCCUUCAGUGGAGAGAAGAUGGCUACUUGCUCUGGACUCAGUUGUCUAAAAACGUACAAUGAAGAAGGCACGCAUGUCAUUGAGCGAAACUGUCAGCACUUAAAAUGCAGCGAUAAACCACACUCAGCUAAGGAAAACGUCGCCGACGGAGAAGGGCCGACACAUCGGACGUUUUGUUGUGAAAGCAACCUUUGCAAUUCUAGUAGGGGCGUUACCCCAUCUUUUAUAUUGCCAGUAGUGUUUUUAUCUUUGUUGUUAUUCACCGGAUUUAUUACUUUGUGACAUUCAUAAUUAAGUGACCUUAGGUAUUAGUUUCGCAAUACAUGAUAUGGCAGUUUUGGAUUAACGUCAGGUAUUGAGAACUUAGGGGCUUCUUCUUAUAAUUGAUGAUGGGCAACAUCAUGUCAUGAAUUUCCUUGCACAUUGGAUAGGAUGCAACUCUUAUAUGAGAUCGUGACUGUGAGUAUGUUUAGAGCUGACGGCUGAAAUAUACUUCCCCGCGUUAGGCCAAGGCCGAGCAGUCGUGAAUGCUCCUGAAGUUCCUGUAUCUUGUACGGCACAAUCGAGAUGCAGUCCGAAACCGAAACCGAUAUAGGAAAUGUUUUAUCGUAAAUUCGGUUAAUAAACUGAUGAUAAACCGAAGACAUUGUAGUGAUAUAUUGGCGUCGACAGAUUUUAAAGGGCCAGUUCUGCCAUGGUUGUUUGUUUACUUUCGUGUUCAGUCACUGUGAUAGUAAAUUGAAUUGUUUGGUGUUAUAAGGAAGAGGACAUCAUUGGGUAAUAAAUUGUGGUGGCCAAUUUCGAAAAUAUUUAGCCAUGUCCAGGAAAUUAACAAAUUAAUCUCAGUUUCCUUUUUUUGAAACAUCCUGUUUAUCUGUCUCCCACAAUAGGACAUUUCAAAUUCAAUGAAAGUUUUCAAAUAUUUCACGGCUUAGGCCUUUAAAGCUAAAAAUGCAUGUAAAUAGUUUGGUCGACUAAUAUUUGCAAACCCAUGUUUUAGAUGAGACUCUUGGUGAUACAGUCAAGUGGUCGGUGAGUUGUCAUCUUCCGACGUUGCCGUCAAGACAUUUGUAUCAUGAUUUCAGAAUGCAUCUCUUAGCUGUCACUCGAAGUGUACCAUGCGGUGCAUGCAGAAAAUGACAAUGCUUCAGUUGUGCACUAAGGCAAUGGCUAUAUGAAGCAGAAGAUCAAAAUACACUUCACGAACAUUCUGAAUGCUUGGUUUUGGCCUUACUACGGAUAUUUUACCAGUCAGCUUUGAAUAACAGAAGAAUCUGGCUCAUGCCAAGUCACACUAACCAUGAUAUGUUUUACUAAUGCGAUGACACUAUCAAGCUAAGCACGACCAGCGCACGACGCAGCGUGUUCAACAUCGGUCCAGUUGCAAAAAAAGCGUUUACGUUCACGACCAAGUCACCAAGAGCGAGGUGGUCCAAACCCCUCCCCGGUUGGUUAUCGGAGGAGGUAUCAUUGAAAUAUCGCUGGAACGACACCAUCGCCAUCUUAGGGGUAAAAACAGAACUGAACAUUUUUAAAUUCGCUUGAACUAAGCAAAUCGGAUAUCGACAAUUUUUUUUGGGGGGGGGGGGGGAGGAGUGGUGGAAAAUGGGGUUCAGUUUGAUCAUAUGUUAAAACUUUUAAACCAAGAUUUUUCAAAAUAAUACAAAGCCGUGUAGAUACAUUUUCUAUAUCAAAUCGGGAAGCUUUGGUCUUGGAGAAUAUAUAUUGCAAAAUAAACCUAUGCAUUUAUCUGUAA